rnacentral:rRNA from 1 species
AGCAGCCGCGGUAAUUCCAGCUCCAAUAGCGUAUAUUAAAGUUGUUGCAGUUAAAAAGCUCGUAGUUGAAUUUCGGGAUCAAUAUGUCUGUCGUGCUUUGGUACGUACUGGCAUUAUUGAUUUCUCCCUUCUGAUAAACCAUGAUGUCAUUAAUUUUUGGUGUUGUGGGGAAUCAGGACUGUUACUUUGAAAAAAUUAGAGUGUUUAAAGCAGGCUCACGCUUGAAUACAUUAGCAUGGAAUAAUGAAAUAGGACGUUUGAUUCUAUUUUGUUGGUUUCUAGGAUCGACGUAAUGAUUAAUAGGGAUAGUUGGGGGCAUUAGUAUUCAAUUGUCAGAGGUGAAAUUCUUGGAUUUAUUGAAGACUAACUACUGCGAAAGCAUUUGCCAAGGAUGUUUUCAUUAAUCAAGAACGAAAGUUAGGGGAUCGAAGACGAUCAGAUACCGUCGUA